UCCACCCGGUCAUAGCAGGGGGGAAACACCCGGACUCAUCUCGAACCCGGAAGUUAAGCCCUCUGCGUUGGAGAUGCGGUGGGAUCCGAAAGGGCCCGCAGCUACUCCAAACUGGGAUGGA
rnacentral:rRNA from 2 species